AAAUUCCAGCCGUCAGUGGAUGGACGCCGCCGUUAUGACAUCCGGGGAGGGGCGGCGGCAUGAGGAAGAGGUGGUGAGGUGAGGAUGAGAUGAUGGUUGUAUCUCUGAAACAAGAUGAAGAAGAAGACACUAUUUCCCUUUAUGUUUUUUUUAUCAAAACAAUUACUUAAUUAUAGGUUUUAAUCUCAGCCAUUCAAUUUAAUUUUGCCACAUGUCUUCAAUCAAUAAAAAGAAAAGGAAGAAAAUGAGCCUUAGGAAAAGGAGCAAAGCUGCGCUCCUUCCAACUUACGGUACUGUACUUUUGAAUCUAUAAGUUUCCACUUCGUUACACGCAUCCUGUAAUAAAGUUCCGAAUAUCCUCAAACUUUUCCUUAAUAUCCUUGUCCUUGAAACAAAACAACACCAACUUUAUUCUAUGAAUCUUCCUCUUUCACGUUUCAUAACGUAAGCACAUGUUAUUUUCCACUUUUUUGUGGAUCCCACUGUGAACCUUCUCUUUCACUUUUUCACAGAUCACACCUCAUCCAAUCUAUAUAAACCCACCCAUUCAAGAUCCAUUUUCUUCCAUCUCUGCUUCCUUCUCCUCUAUUUCCACACUCUCCUCUCAGGUAACUUUCAAUUCUGCUUCUAUAAUUUAAUAUUUUUUUCAUUGAUUGUUUGAUGAAGCAAAACACUUUUUGGAUUUUAUUUAUUUAUUUGCAAGUGUGUACAUAUUUUUGCUUGAAAUUUGAUGAAAAGGUUCAAAAUUUUGCAGGUUUGGGUGCUUGAUUAACUAGUUAUAAUAAUGGCUGCUCUCAAACCUGGUGUCAUUGCUUUGUUUGAUGUUGAUGGGACUCUUACUGNNNNNNNNN
rnacentral:lncRNA from 1 species